GCCUUCCUAGCUCAGUGGUCACAGAGCAGCUGCCUGGUAUGCAGCAGGUCGCCGGUUCGAUUCCGGCGGGAGGCUCCA
rnacentral:tRNA from 1 species